CUGGGCUGAGCCCGGGCUAGGAAAUGAGUGCCCAUGAGAUAGCAGUGGGAAGAGUUUCACCUCCUGGGAGCUUCACUGCAAAGUAAAAGGAGGAAGGUGUGGCAGUAAAGAGCAAAAGAGAGGGAGCCAAGAGAGGAGAUGACUGCACAGCCCUGGGUGCACCCGCGUGGCCCUCUUGCAACUGUACCAGCCCAGGUAGGCCGUUUUCCUGCCCUGCCAGAAGGAGCAAAAUUGAACAGUGGUCUGGAGAGCUAUCUGUUCUGACCGUUAGUCAAACACUGGGAGCCAGUUAGACCUAAUUGUCUUUGAAACAUCUGAAAACCAAACACACUUUUGGAGGUCAGGCUGUACAGCUGAAAAGGAGGCAGAGGUAGCUGGGAUGAAAAUGAAGGCAUAAUAGGUUCAUAUAGCUGGUGUGAAAAUUAGCUUAAGGGGUCUCCUUACGUUGCUUUCUUAAUGAUGUGAAACACAAUAAUGGCUUUGGCCAUAAUAAAGAUGAAUUACUUUUUUUUCCUGAAAAAUAAUGAAACUUUGGUAAACAUCCUAGGUUUAUCACUUAAUUUAUCCCCAGCUCAGGGGGAAAGAAAGACAGAGCAAGGGAGAGAUCUCUCCCGAACCCAGCCCCCAUUUUUAAUAUUCCAAGCUAUUAGAUUUCAAUAACCCACUCUCCUGCAUGUGUGUCUCAUUUCCCUGGACAGACCAAAUAGGCAAUAACAGGCUCUCGGUUAGAACACUAAUGUUGUAAUUUAGACCUUCUGUCAAGAUGAAAGAUCUGUGCUAGGAUCCUCUGAGGGCCCACAGCAGCACUUCAACCAAGGCCCGGAUAAUGAAGUUUUCAUUAUUAAAUAAAGAUAUUUUAGGAAUGUCAUAAACCAUAAAUCCACUGUCUUCUAUUGCCCUGCCACCUUACUGUGUUUAUUUCUAGUGAAACUCUAUCCUCUUUUGACCCCCCACCCCAACUCCUCGAAAUUCGGCAUUUCUUGCCUUUCGACUCCCUAAUCCCACUGUGAUUCAUUCAAGUCGCUGUUGUGACAGGAGAGUGUCUUCUCCCACGUUCAGACCCACAGGCUUCAAAAGAAGAAAGUGCGUGUGGAGAGCAUCAGACACAGUGCUCAAGACAUCCGGAAUCUCGCAGUUCACAGAGCGGGCCCCACCAUUCUCUUUGCCUGACUGUAGAAAUGGCAGCAUGGAUGACAAGGGACCUUGCUUCAGGGACAGACUCAAUGGCUGACUCUUCUAAACGUGAUGUGAAGCAGAAUUCACUGACAUAUGUAAUGGUUUAUGGUCUAAAAUUGUUACAAGGGAAACAUGCAAUAGGCACCCCUACCACCUCAGAGAUUGGCUUUGUUACUAGACAGCAUUAGUCAAAAUGUCUUCUAUGAAAAUCCAGUCCUUUGGGAUGUUAAAGGAUGUCAUAGUGAUAGGGUUCGAGAUGAUUUACCCCAAAACAUGGCAUGUUGGCAUUUGAGAAAAUAAAAAAAGCAGGCAGUUCUGACUGAAGCAAACCUUAAAGUAAUUCUCUGAACUUCCCCUAAAAUGAGUCAGAAGACCCUCAUCCCAGAAGGGUCCUCUCCAUACCUGCAAAAAAAAAGAAAAAAAAAAAGGGAAUGGAGCCACUGAAACACAGAAAAGAAUCUGAAAACCCCCAGGCUUUGCUAAGUUCCCUCCUGUUUAUUUCCAUUUGGUCAGACCCUUCUGUCCUCCAAUCAUACUUCUGCACGGUAGUCCAUAAAAAUACAGUUUCUCUGUUUCCUUGGUUUUUUAUUUCUGAAGGCUCUCAGGUCACAUAAUACUUUAAUAAAAAGGAAAAAAUUAUUAAAUGCAUAUGCUUUCUUUUAUUAUAGGUGUCUCAGCUAUGAACCUUGCAAUGGAUGGAGGAAAAGGGUGUACUUCCUUUCACCCACCACAGGAGGUUAACCAGGUUUCUUUACUACAGGGUUUCUCAGAGCUCUGUACAUGCUAACAUACUGUCUGACUCUCCACGUGAGGAGAAUGGAAGGAUUCCACAUUAUCCACAGAUCGACUUUUGUCCUGGAGCACUGAGGGACUGAUGUUUGGCAAGCUCUGGGAAACACAGAGCAGAGAUCAGUCUAGGAGCCUAAUCUGCAUGCUUACAUCAGGAAGUUUGGAAAGUGAGGGUCGUCCACUAGGACUUUGUGCAUGAAGAUCCCUCAGCAUCAUGGGAGAAAUGCUGAGGAGGACUUGGAGGCUCAUAGGUGAGCACAGGACACAGGAAGCUAAAGUAACAAACAAGACACAGCAAAAACAAAACAAAAUACCUCUGGUCCCACAUCCCAGAAGACAUGACUUGAAUGGGCUGGAAACAUGUCAGCCGAAGCAGGAAGGAGCGGAUGAGCUGAUUUUCAGCUUGUCGGGAAAGCCUCUGUAUAUUAUUUGAUGCUUUGAUAAUCUCAUCUAAUAAGACCAGGGCUCCAGUCAUUAGGCUCCCUGAGAGUCUCGUAGCUCACACCACACUCCCUGUUUCCUAGAUCCCACAUCACCCUGCUUCCUUGAGUUUGCCCGCCCAAUUUGCUGGCAUCCAUAACUUGGAAGGACACAGAAGUGUAUUUUCUAAUCCCUUCAAUGUCUAGAAAUACUUUUGUUUACCCUCACAACUGGUGGGUUGGUGUCUGAGUCUAGAUUAGAAAUCUAGAUUUUAAAAUAUUUUUCUUCAAAAUAUGGAUCUCUUUUCUCCAUUGCCCACUGGCAUCAGUGUUGCUGCCGAGAAUCCAAAGCCAAUCUACUUCUCUCCCCUGAAGUGAGGUUUGUUUGCUCAUACACUGGAUUGUGGAUUUUCUUUUUAAAUUUAUUUAUUUGAAAGGCAGAGUUACAGCAUCUUCUGCUGCUUUCCCAGGUGCAUCAGCAGGGAGCUGGAUGGGAAGUAGAGCAGCCGGGUCCUGAACCAACACUCACAUGGGAUGCUGGCAUCACAGGUAGUGGCUUACCUUGCUAGACCACAACGCUGGCCCCUUCAUCUUCUGAAAUUCUGUAUGAGUCUAAUCUGGACUU